GACCCGGUAGCUCAGCUGGCAGAGCAACGGACUUUUAAUCCGUAGGUCGUGGGUUCGAUGCCCACCCGGGUCA
rnacentral:tRNA from 1 species